CUCAGGCAAUCCUUGAAAACCUUCUCACACUUUUGACUGAAGAUGGAGGAGGCAAGAGAGACAAAUAGGGAAGUGUGAAGAGGUCUAGAGGGGGAAUGAGAGGAAGCAAGAGAAUAACAGACUGACUGCCCAGGUCACAGACACAGAGACAAUAACAAGAGUAAGAGGGGGUCAUGGGAGAACGAGAGGAAGCAAGAGAGAGAGAACAGACUGACUGCCCAGGUCAAAGACACAGAGAGAAUAACAGACUGACUGCCCAGGUCACAGACACAGAGACAAUAACAAGAGUAAGAGGGGGUCAUGGGAGAACGAGAGGAAGCAAGAGAGAGAGAACAGACUGACUGCCCAGGUCACAGAGAGAGAGAAUAACAGACUGACUGCCCAGGUCAAAGAGAGAGAGAGAGAAUAACAGACUGACUGCCCAGGUCAAAGACACAGAGAGAAUAACAGACUGACUGCCCAGGUCACAGAGAGAGAGAGAGAAUAACAGACUGACUGCCCAGGUCAAAGAGAGAGAGAGAGAGAAUAACAGACUGACUGCCCAGGUCAAAGAGAGAGAGAGAAUAACAGACUGACAGACACAGACACACAGACAGACACACAGACAGAGAGAGAGAGAGAACAGACUGACUGCCCAGGUCAAAGACACAGAGAGAAUAACAGACUGACUGCCCAGGUCACAGAGAGAGAGAGAAUAACAGACUGACUGCCCAGGUCAGAGAGAGAGAGAGAAUAACAGACUGACUGCCCAGGUCACAGAGAGAGAGAGAAUAACAGACUGACUGCCCAGGUCACAGAGAGAGAGAGAAUAACAGACUGACUGCCCAGGUCAAAGAGAGAGAGAGA